GCUGGGAUUUCUGGAAGUUGAAAAGCACUACAUUCCAUCUUAUCUUGGAAGUUAAGCAGGAUUAUCUCUUGCUAAUACUUAGAUGGGAGAUUGCCAAUGAACACCAGGUGAUGCAGGCU
rnacentral:rRNA from 11 species